GACGAACGCUGGCGGCGUGCUUAACACAUGCAAGUCGAACGAAGAGCGACGGAAGCUUGCUUCUAUCAAUCUUAGUGGCGAACGGGUGAGUAACGCGUAAUCAACCUGCCCUUCAGAGGGGGACAACAGUUGGAAACGACUGCUAAUACCGCAUACGAUCUAAUCUCGGCAUCGAGGAUGGAUGAAAGGUGGCCUCUACAUGUAAGCUAUCACUGAAGGAGGGGAUUGCGUCUGAUUAGCUAGUUGGAGGGGUAACGGCCCACCAAGGCGAUGAUCAGUAGCCGGUCUGAGAGGAUGAACGGCCACAUUGGGACUGAGACACGGCCCAGACUCCUACGGGAGGCAGCAGUGGGGAAUCUUCCGCAAUGGACGAAAGUCUGACGGAGCAACGCCGCGUGAGUGAUGACGGCCUUCGGGUUGUAAAGCUCUGUUAAUCGGGACGAAAAGGCCUUU
rnacentral:rRNA from 1 species